GGCGAAGACUGGCGCUGGAGUUGAAGCCCAUCAAAGUUGUUUCACCAUGGCACAUGAUCGGGGUGGACCUCAUCGGACCACUUUAAAUGUUAGGGGUGGACCUCAUCGGACCCUUCACAAAAUCCAGGAAUGGGAUUCACUUUACCAAUUGGGUGGAGGCAAUACCCAUUAAGAUCACUGAAACCCCACCUGAUGUGGUGGAAGUUGUCGAACCAGAUCAGAACGCCUUCGAGAACCACCAUCAGGCACGGACUGAGAAGGAUGUGGAGGUUUUUGACCAGGUGAGACUGAACAUCGACAAGGCGCAGGAGAAACAGAAGGAGAGCUACCGGAGCAGAAUCAAGAAGGGGACCAAGUGCUACGACAUCCGGGCUAAUUACUUGGUUUGGAAGAAGGACGAAAGGAAGGCGAGACCUGGGAAACCUUGCUGCUCUUUCGCUGCUAGCUGGGGUCACCAUCUGUUAAGGGUUACCUCGGGGGAAGCCAACAAUCUUCUCCAGUUGGAGCAGUUGGACGGUCGACCACUGAAAGCCCUACACCUCGGUGAAGCCCAAUAAACAAAGACCAUCGACUGUCCAGGAGGUAUCCCAUCCACCAGAAUCAGUGAGUUCGGAUCAGUCUGAUUCUCUGUGCUCUAAGUCGGAGGGGGACCAGCUUGAGGACCAAGGGGUUCUGCCCAACACCCAGACGUGGAUCCACCU